UAGAAGUGCGCGGCGCGUGUAAAAAGUCGAGGUAGUGAAAAUUGUAUAAAAAGCAUGUGUGAUUUUUGAGUAAUUCUUGUUUCUAAUUCUUUUAGUUAUAGUUGUUCCUUAAAAGCCAAUUGUUAAAAAGCUUAAAAUAAAGUGUUAGUAGUGCAGUUAGUAAAUUAUUAAAGGGUGCUGUGUGGCUAAUAAAAGCGGUUCGCAUUCCAAGGGAAUUGCGUGCCACUGAACCUAGUGGAAAAAGGCCUAACGAGGCCUUUUUCCAUUUGUUUAGGCCAGUCGUCUGGAUUUUCGGGAGAAACUGGUCCCAAACGCCCAACUUGCAUCUAUUUUGGAAUUUUCCAGAACAAAUCAAAUCCCUGAGCCAGAAAUCUUCCCUGCUGGUACUCCUUUGGGGUAAAUAGCAGAAGAGGGAUCCUCGACAUCACCAUUGUCCAACCACGUUUUUGGGACUUUUGUUAGACCAUUCUGAUCCGGAGUUCGACGCCAUUGUUGGAGACGCCAUCUUGAAUCGACAGGCCGAAUCAAUCGCUGGAAUAUCUUGGAAGUGAAUCGGGCCCCGGCGAUAAUAGACCCGGUCUUCCCCCACGUAGCGAAAGAGGAAAUAAUUGUUGCGCUUCAAACCAGAGGUUCUCCACCGUCGCUCCACCGUCAAGUCGGUUGAUUGGCCAAUCACUAUUGGUUCAUUCGGGCGACUUUUAUGUGUAGCCGAUCGAUCCAGGGGUUCCCCACCAUCACCGUAAGUGAGCCACCGAUCCACAGCAUCCAGAUAAACCGUAAGUCGCGCUGGUAUUAUUAAUUAAACCUAAAUUUUGUGCAAUAGGCAGUUACGUAAAUCGUGAUCACGAGGUUAGGCAAAUCUAGCUAGGUACCCAAAAGUAAGCUAAAUAAAUAGCAUGAUGUUUGUACAACAAUCGUUUACAUAAAACCACCUAGCUUUCUAUUAGAAAAAGAAAUUUGAUGAUCUUAGAAAUCACAUUAUUUAAUUAAUAUCGCCCUAUAUUCGAUGCAAACUUUUUAAAACAAAAGUUUCCCACCCCUCGUUUUCUGAAA